rnacentral:rRNA from 1 species
UACAGAGGGUGCGAGCGUUUGUCCGGAAUCACUGGGCGUAAAGGGCGCGUAGGUGGUGGCUUAAGCGUGCGGUGAAAGCUCGGGGCUCAACUCCGAGUCGGCCGUGCGAACUGGGCUCACUGGAGCAUAGUAGAGGCAGGUGGAAUUCCGGGUGUAGCGGUGGAAUGCGCAGAUAUCAGGAGGAACACCAAUAGCGAAGGCAGCUCGCUGGGACGUUACUGACACUGAGGCGCGAAAGCGUGGGGAGCGAACAGG